AGGACGAACGCUGGCGGCGCGCUUAACACAUGCAAGUCGAGCGAGAACCAGGCCUUCGGGCCUGGGGAAAGCGGCGAACGGGUGAGUAACACGUGGGUAACCCACCCUUGGUACCGGGAUAGCCCGAGGAAACUCGGAUUAAUACCGGAUGGCCCAACAGCUCUUCGGGGCGGUUGGAAAAGGUAGCUUCGGCCUCCGACCAAGGACGGGCCCGCGGCGGAUUAGCUUGUUGGUGAGGUAACGGCUCACCAAGGCGACGAUCCGUAGCUGGUCUGAGAGGACGAUCAGCCACACUGGGACUGAGACACGGCCCAGACUCCUACGGGAGGCAGCAGUGGGGAAUCUUGCGCAAUGGGCGAAAGCCUGACGCAGCGACGCCGCGUGGGGGAAGAAGGCUUUCGGGUUGUAAACCCCUUUCGAGGAAGGACGAAGCCACUCGGGUUAAUAGCCCAGAGGGUGACGGUACUUCCAGAAGAGCCCCGGCUAACUACGCGCCAGCAGCCGC
rnacentral:rRNA from 1 species